AGAGUUUGAUCCUGGCUCAGGACGAACGUUGGCGGCGCGCCUAACACAUGCAAGUCGAACGGAGCUAUGUUGAAAGCUUGCUGGAUAUAUAGCUUAGUGGCGGACGGGUGAGUAACACGUGAGCAACCUGCCUUUCAGAGUGGAAUAACGUUUGGAAACGAACGCUAAUACCGCAUAAUGUCAGAGGAUGGCAUCAUUCUUUGACCAAAGAUUUAUCGCUGAAAGAUGGGCUCGCGGCCGAUUAGGUAGUUGGUGAGAUAAUAGCCCACCAAGCCGACGAUCGGUAGCCGGACUGAGAGGUUGAACGGCCACAUUGGGACUGAGACACGGCCCAGACUCCUACGGGAGGCAGCAGUGGGGGAUAUUGCACAAUGGGGGAAACCCUGAUGCAGCGACGCCGCGUGAGGGAAGACGGCCUUCGGGUUGUAAACCUCUGUCUUCGGGGACGAAUAAAUGACGGUACCCGAGGAGGAAGCCACGGCUAACUACGUGCCAGCAGCCGCGGUAAUACGUAGGUGGCAAGCGUUGUCCGGAAUUACUGGGUGUAAAGGGAGCGUAGGCGGGGAGGCAAGUUGAAUGUCUAAACUAUCGGCUCAACUGAUAGUCGCGUUCAAAACUGCCACUCUUGAGUGCAGUAGAGGUAGGCGGAAUUCCUAGUGUAGCGGUGAAAUGCGUAGAUAUUAGGAGGAACACCAGUGGCGAAGGCGGCCUACUGGGCUGUAACUGACGCUGAGGCUCGAAAGCGUGGGUAGCAAACAAAAUUAGAUACCCUGGUAGUCCACGCCGUAAACGA
rnacentral:rRNA from 1 species